GACGAACGCUGGCGGCGUGCCUAAUACAUGCAAGUAGAACGCACAGUUUAUACCGUAGCUUGCUACACCAUAGACUGUGAGUUGCGAACGGGUGAGUAACGCGUAGGUAACCUGCCUGGUAGCGGGGGAUAACUAUUGGAAACGAUAGCUAAUACCGCAUAAUAUUAAUUAUUGCAUGAUAAUUAAUUGAAAGGUGCAAUUGCACCACUACCAGAUGGACCUGCGUUGUAUUAGCUAGUAGGUGAGGUAACGGCUCACCUAGGCGACGAUACAUAGCCGGCCUGAGAGGGUGAUCGGCCACACUGGGACUGAGACACGGCCCAGACUCCUACGGGAGGCAGCAGUAGGGAAUCUUCGGCAAUGGACGAAAGUCUGACCGAGCAACGCCGCGUGAGUGAAGAAGGUUUUCGGAUCGUAAAGCUCUGUUGUAAGAGAAGAACGGGUGUGAGAGUGGAAAGUUCACACUGUGACGGUAUCUUACCAGAAAGGGACGGCUAACUACGUG
rnacentral:rRNA from 1 species